CGAUUACAUACUUAAUACAUCAACUUCAGUAAUUCAGGUUGUAGAUAUGAUUAGAAUAGUCUCCAAAUGGCAUUUGAGAGCGUUUCAUCUUGGAUGUGGACUUGAUUCUAUAGAACACAGUCUGCCUUCUUUAGUAGCUCUGUUUUGUGCGUCAAGCUCUGAAUUUAGCCUCGUGUAGGCUGCUGGGAUUGCACUCAAUGUGUGUUUUACCUUUUUACUUCAGAAAAUCUCCAGCACACACACAAGUAGAACAGUACAGUGAGCCCCUACCUACCCGUCAUCCACUGUGACGACGACCGACUCGGGGCCAGUUGUGUUGGCUAUAUACCUCACCCCCACCGCCAUCAUUUUGAAGCAAAUCCCAGACACCAUAUGGAUUUCAUCUGUGAAUAGUAAAUGUGCUUUUGUUUCCAGAAUUGCAUCUACGCCUGCAACGUUGGUCGUUUGAAAACGCCCGAAGGCUUUGUGAAAAACUACCAAGGCACAGUUGAUGAGAAACCUGGGGCGUAGGGAGUUCUGGUUGAUCAGCUUUUCUGUUUCCCUGAAUCAUUAGCUAGAAAACCCUUAUUGUUUAGAGAAGGGGAAAAGCUUUCUAAGUGUGUACUUUCACGCCUUAUAUGGGUUUGUACAGCAAACAGUCUAACCUCUUGAUCUAGUCUGACUGACUGUCGCUCCUGGGGGAUGUGACUGAACAGGGCUGGUUGGUACCAUUACAGGUUUGUGGCGGGGAUGGGGCCUUCCCACCUGUCCCCUUAUCUGUCCCGCAGCCCAGAUUCCAACCUAUCGGUGUCUCCUGAGUCCCCGGCAUAACUGAACACCCUCCCCACCCGCCAUAGACAAAGGAUCCUCCAGUUCCGUGCCCCGCCAGAACACCUGCCACAAGUUCCCCCAGCUUUCUCUCUUUCCUCCAGACUUCGAUCAAGACACAUGUGCUGAAGGAUGAAUUUGUACUCAGCUCAGGGGACACACGGUGGUGUUGACCUUGCCCCCUUGCUCAGGGAGGUGUCAGCCGUGUCUCCGCCGCUGAGUCGCUGUCUUUUGCUUCCCUACUCUGUGCUUGAGAAGCAAGCCACCGUCCAGCCUACUGUCAAGGGGAGUGGUGUCCAGCUGCACCUCCUGGAGGGGGCGUAUCAAAGAAUUCGUGGACGCAAGAAUAAGUCGCGCUUUCUUCCUCAAACUUACCGAGCAUGGCGGGAGCUGAUCCCCCGAGAGGAGGACGCUGUGGGCCCUGGGGAGGAGACGGUGGAUGCCCUGCUGGGCCUGGUCUGCAGCCCCCACUCACCCUGGGCCCUGCUGGAGGGCUCAAGCGCUGAGGACCGUUUUCUGAGAGAGCUGGCCAUCCAGAAUCCCCUGAUGCUCAAAGACAGCUUCUUCUACACCUACUUCAGGUCGCUACGGGUGGUGAACAAGCAGGUGAGCCUGGUGGACAAGGACCUCCUGAAAUUUGUGAAGCUUGAAGAGUUGGUGCUGAGUGCUAAUCAAAUCAAGGAGAUUGACACCACCAACCUGCCCCCAACUCUCAAGGUGCUGGAGCUCUACAGCAACAAGAUGACCAGCAUGGAGUGUCUGUGCACCCGCCCGCCCCCAAGGCUCCAGCACUUGGGGUUGGGUCACAACAAGCUUCUGGGCCCCCUGGAGAGUCUAUACGUCACCAGUGAUUACUGGCCCAACCUCAUCUCCCUGGACCUGAGCUUCAACGACCUGACGGACCUGCAGGGCAUGGUGUCCGGCCUCCGAACGCUGCAGCGCCUGAGGUUGCUCGUGCUGCAGGGGAACCCGCUGGCCCUGGUGCCCUGCUACCGGGGCUUCAUCAUCGACGGCCUGUCUGGCCUCUGCGUGCUGGACGACAUCACCGUGGCACCCAGCGAGAAGCAUCUGUUCCGUGGGCUCAGCCACAGCGGGGAUCUCCUGGUGCAUGAGGCGCGGUUAGUGGUGACUGUUGGACAUGUCAGAGGGGUUCUGGACUCCUCGGUCUUGGACCCGGAACCAGGGCCCCAAGGCCCUUUCAUCACUUACAGCUAUUAUGUAACAUACGAGUUUGUGGAAGAUGAGGAAGGCGAAGGAGAUGAAUACGGCCGCGUGCUGGCUGAGAUCGUCAAGCCCCCGCCCAGCACGGAACAGCUGGGUGAGGACAUUCCCAAAGAGCCCAUCAAAGAGGCUGAAGACUCUGUAGGGUCUGGGCUGGCCUCCCAGUCCCAGUCCAGGGAGCUGGAGGAGUCCGGCGCCUCAGCGCCCUUGCCGCGGCCCAUGGACUCUGCGGAAGAGGCCAAGCUGCGGCCGCGCCUGGAUCCCCGGCUCUGGCCAUCCCCGGGGACAGUUCUCUUUAGCACAGUCCGCAAACCCUGGUCUGACGUCAUCCCCUGCAACUACGAGAUGCAGCACGUGCUCAAGGACCUGGUGCGGCUCAAGGCCUUCCUGCUCUCAGGGACCACCGUCACCAUCGUGGAGGAGAAGAUUCUCUCCUGGCCUGCGGUGCCGCCUUCCCCCAACAGUCCCUCGGCUGCUAAGAAGGGAAAGGGAGAGAAGGACAAGAAAGGGAAGGAGAAAGACAAGGAAGAGAAAAACAAGAAGGGAAAAGAUGGGAAAGACAAAGCAGGCAAAGGGGAGAAAGAACCAGCCAAGGAGCAGAAGGGGAGCAAGAAGAAGGAGCUUCGUAAGGAUCUGCGCCAGGACCCGCCUGUCCUCCGGGUGCUGGGCAGUGGCCCGGUGGACCUGGAGCCCCUGCUCUCCGGGGAGCCAUUCGUGUCCACCGUGUGCAACUUCGGGGUGGUCCGUACCUUGGAGACGGACAGGCUGACGCUUUACAGGGAUUCAAAGAAGAAGAAGAGUGAGAAAGCUAAAAAUGCUGCUCUGGAGGCCAGGAAGUCAAAGACCAAGUUGUCAGCAGCGUCAGGUGAGGGUCCUGUUCCUGGUUCGCGCCUUCUUCCUGGGUCCUCACCUGGCGGAAGGGACCAGCGGUCUCCCUCUGCCCUCAUGAUGUAACCGCCUUCCAAAGGCCCCGCCUCCUAAUACCAUCACCUUUGGGGGCUGGGAUUUCAACAUAUGAAUUUGGGGAAGGGCACAAAUAUAGCAGGACUUGCUGAGGGAUCAGCCUGAUUGGGGACCAAAGGAAUGGAAGGAUGGAGAAUCAUAUCUUCCAGCCGGUGGGAGGGACGGCCAUGUCUACCCUGAUGAACAAACCCUGUGUCUUCCCUGCCUGCUGCGGUCAUGACAUGGGCAGGACAGGCAUUCUGGGGUAGGGGCCAGGAGGGAAUGAGUAGGGAGGCCCAGGGUUGGGAGUGUCCAGGGUCCUUCUGGCUCAGCGGUGGUCCUGCUUCUGCAGGACGUUAGCCCUCCCUUAUAAGGAGCCUGGACUUGUUGUAUGGGCAGUGGCAGCAUUGAAAUAGAAAUCAGCAAGCUGAUUCUCAAGUUCAUAUAGAAAUUCAAAGGAUCUAGAACAGCCAAAACAACUUUGAAAAAGAACAAAGGACUUAACACUACUGGAAUUGAAGACCCAGACAAAUAUGGACAUGAGAUUUGUGAUUGAAUCCUUGGGUUAAAAUGGUUUUAAACAAAACUUUUUUUUUUUUUUUACAUUUUUGCAAAUUUCUUUAAUGUCUGGCUUAAUUGAGGAAGCCAUAUUUGCAUAACUGCUUCUGCAGUCAGUCUCUGUGAUGUGUUGCUGUAGUUGAAGUGUAUGAAGAAAAUCUAACCUCACGUGGACAUCUACUUGGAAAAGAGGGAAAUAUUUUAAUAGGCUUUUAAAUAACUGUGGAUAUUCCUCUUUGCAUGAGACUUGACAACUAGUAGUUUUUUAAAGGUUGUUACAGUGUGAAAACUGAAUCUAUAUGGAUGAAUUUUUUCAUAAUCAGUUAUGUUAAAUUAAUCCAUUGGUCUACAUUGCCUUUUUUGUUUUUAACAUUGCAUUUUGAAUGGCUAUCUUACCCAUGCACAAUUGUUAACAUCUGGCAAUUGUUAUUGGUAAAGUACUGGUUCACUGAGUUAUGCAGAUCUUCCAACUGUUGACACAUUUUUUUUUAAUCCAUUAUCCAAAAAUCGCGUUCUUUAUCAUCAACCAUAACAUCAGAAAAGUCUUUUGAGUAUUGGAAAACUGUUAAGUCCAUGGUGGCAGAUACAGUGUUACAAAGUUCUAGUUUCUACUUGAAAGUUCAAAUGUUAUAAAUGUAUUUAUCAAAAUGCUUUCAGUUGUUUUCCCUGAAGUGCCAGGCUUCAUUCUUUUUUUAGAAAAUAUCUGACAAAUAUUCACGUCGAAAUAACCAUAUUUUGUCAGCGUACUUUCAAGUGAAAAAGAUGUUCCAAGAAAAAGCAGCUAGUUCAUCUUGUAAUUCAAACUGAGACGUGUUAAAUGAUCUAGUUAGAUGUGAUUUAAUUUUAUUCCUUAUUACGGUGAAGACCCGAGGGCGGAAUCUGAUUCUGAAACCGUGCUGGCCUCGGGACGGCGGAGGUCACAUCUGCGUUUCCGGGACGUGUCGUGAGCUGGCCCGGGAUGGUCCGGCACUGCCAGCCCGCUCAUCGCUCCGGAUUCACACUUUCAUAUUUCUUCAGAAAUAAGAAAAUCUUUGGUUUUAGUGUACGAAAGCGACUACCGCCCCGACCCCCUGACUGUGGAGAUCCAGAUCCAGCUGAUCCAGGGCCACUCGACGGAGGAGGCGCUUCGGAUGCUUGUCCCGUAGGGCGCGGGAUUAAAGGUUGU